GGACAGGAACUCUUACCUUCUGGACAACCAACCUUGGUCCACAAACAAGAAUACAGAUUGUGUCUGACCAAAAACCUCUGAAGACUCACUACAGCCAAGAUAAAGACACAACUCAGCUGCACCAAAUCCACUAAUCACUGCACACAUUAGCACCAUGUGCUAACUGUGGCUAAAGAACCACAUUUACCAAGACAACUAUCUGGUACAAAGCCCUAAAACACACCAAGAAACACAUUAAAGACGAUUUUACUGCUGGAAGCUGCAAACCAAUGCCUAAAGAACAAACUAAAGCAAUGGAGCCAAACCCGGUUCAGUGGUGAAGAGAAGCAGAGGAAAUGUUUGAAUGCAGCUAAAUAAAGCAGGAAGACACUGAGCUGCUCAGGUGUUCCUGAUAACACCAAGCAGCCACCUGGACAGCCAAUAGGAACACAGCUUCCUGGAAGUCCAGAGGGCUGGCUUAGUGAAGGAAAUUUAAAGUUGAGGCAGCAACUUAACAAAGUUGAAAACCACCUUCUGAUACCUGAAAUCUCUGAGUUUUCACACAAAGAACACCUGAACAUGUCAAACUGGUUCCAUAGUAGAACCAUCAUUGUAAAAACAUCAUAGUAUGGUGUGUUGCUCAAAAAACAUUACGACCUGGCUGUCUAGGGUUGCCGAGGAGCAACACAAAAACAGGACAAACGCUGGUUUCCAGGGGGUUAGGCGGGUAUUUAUUUGAAAGAGUAAGUUUACAACAACACAACAUGUGAGCAGAAAAAUCACAAAUUCAACUGAAAAUAUUAGUUUUUGUCUUUUUUAUUGACCAAACUUUUCAGGAAGUAGAUGAAGAAUAAUUGAAGCUCUCAUGUAGAAGUCCAACUUAUUUUGGAUCCUUGUGGAGAGUUUAAUCUUAGAGUUUGUACAGCUGUUGAGUUUUUAGAGUCACAUGGAUUGUUUUGAC
ensembl:lncRNA